rnacentral:lncRNA from 1 species
GAAAGACUUUCUUUGUUUCAGAUGCAAAUGGUUGCGUUAAAUGCUGGAGCUAUCAUUUCAAUCAAUGUCUGUACACCAUCAAAGAAAAGCGUCAAACCUUUGGCAUAACAUACCACCCUAGAUUUCCAAAAUUUGUGACUUAUGGAGAUGACCUGAGAGUUUAUUUUUACGAUGAAGAAAGUAAGACACAGGAACGAGUGUUGAUGGCAAGCGAAAAUCCAGAUAAACAUGAUGGCCAUAUGUCCAGAGUAUUUGCCGCAUGUUUUCAUCCAAGGAAUAACUACGAACUAAUUACUGGUGGAUGGGACGAUGUGGUUCAAUUUUGGGAUCUUCGACAGCCCUAUGCAAUACGCCAUCUUUCUGGGAUACACAUUUGCGGUGAAGGACUGGACAUCAACACGAAAGGAACUGAGAUUCUCACUUGCGGUUUUCAAACUAAUGACCCCCUCCAAAUAUGGGAUUAUGGCAGUGGAAAAAGGAUUUCUUGUUUGGAACCGGAUAUCUACAAU